UACGGAGGGUGCAAGCGUUAUCCGGAUUCACUGGGUUUAAAGGGUGCGUAGGAGGGCAGGUAAGUCAGUGGUGAAAUCUCCAAGCUUAACUUGGAAACUGCCGUUGAUACUAUCUGUCUUGAAUAUUGUGGAGGUGAGCGGAAUAUGUCAUGUAGCGGUGAAAUGCUUAGAUAUGACAUAGAACACCAAUUGCGAGGGCAGCUCACUACUCAAUCAUUGACUCUGAGGCACGAAAGCGUGGGGAUCAAACAGG
rnacentral:rRNA from 1 species